AGCUUUGCGCAGAGGCGAUACCGUAACCAGUGAGGUUCUACCGAGGUGCGGUUAUUGCUGGUUGAAAACUUUAGCCAAUUCCCCGCCAUGAGAAUCUGAAAAAUGGUUCUCAUCGGCAAUUUUUGGGAGCCCGCUGGGGC
rfam:Trichuris muris Edinburgh genomic scaffold, scaffold10